GUGGGGAAUUUUGGACAAUGGGCGCAAGCCUGAUCCAGCAAUGCCGCGUGAGUGAAGAAGGCCUUCGGGUUGUAAAGCUCUUUUGUCAGGGAAGAAACGGUGGAGGCUAAUAUCCUCUGCUAAUGACGGUACCUGAAGAAUAAGCACCGGCUAACUACGUGCCAGCAGCCGCGGUAAUACGUAGGGUGCAAGCGUUAAUCGGAAUUACUGGGCGUAAAGCGUGCGCAGGCGGUUUUGUAAGACUGUCGUGAAAUCCCCGGGCUCAACCUGGGAAUGGCGAUGGUGACUGCAAGGCUAGAGUUUGGCAGAGGGGGGUAGAAUUCCACGUGUAGCAGUGAAAUGCGUAGGUAUGUGGAGGAACACCGAUGGCGAAGGCAGCCCCCUGGGUCAAAACUGACGCUCAUGCACGAAAGCGUGGGGAGCAAACAGGAUU
rnacentral:rRNA from 1 species